UACGUAGGGGGCAAGCGUUAUCCGGAUUUACUGGGUGUAAAGGGUGCGUAGACGGUUAAGCAAGUCUGAAGCGAAAUGCGCGGGCUCAACCCGUGAACUGCUUUGGAAACUGUUAAACUAGAGUACAGGAGGGGUAAGCGGAAUUCCUGGUGUAGCGGUGAAAUGCAUAGAUAUCAGGAGGAACACCGGCGGCGAAGGUGGCUUACUUGACUGUAACUGACGUUGAGGCACGAAAGCGUGGGGAGCAAAC
rnacentral:rRNA from 1 species